rnacentral:rRNA from 1 species
AGUCGAACGGGAAGAGAUGAAGAGCUUGCUCUUUAUCGAAUCCAGUGGCAAACGGGUGAGUAACACGUAAACAGCCUGCCUUCAGGAUGGGGACAACAGACGGAAACGACUGCUAAUACCGAAUACGUUCCACGGGCCGCAUGACCUGUGGAAGAAAGGGUAGCCUCUACCUGUAAGCUAUCGCCUGAAGAGGGGUUUGCGUCUGAUUAGGCAGUUGGUGGGGUAACGGCCCACCAAACCAACGAUCAGUAGCCGGUCUGAGAGGAUGAACGGCCACACUGGAACUGAGACACGGUCCAGACUCCUACGGGAGGCAGCAGUGGGGAAUCUUCCGCAAUGGACGAAAGUCUGACGGAGCAACGCCGCGUGAGUGAAGACGGCCUUCGGGUUGUAAAGCUCUGUGAUCCGGGACGAAAGAGCCUGAGGUAAAUAGCCUAAGGAAGUGACGGUACCGGAAAAGCAAGCCACGGCUAACUACGUGCCAGCAGCCGCGGUAAUACGUAGGUGGCAAGCGUUGUCCGGAAUUAUUGGGCGUAAAGCGCGCGCAGGCGGCUUACUAAGUCCAUCUUAAAAGUGCGGGGCUUAACCCCGUGAUGGGAUGGAAACUGGAAAGCUGGAGUAUCGGAGAGGAAAGUGGAAUUCCUAGUGUAGCGGUGAAAUGCGUAGAGAUUAGGAAGAACACCGGUGGCGAAGGCGACUUUCUGGACGAAAACUGACGCUGAGGCGCGAAAGCGUGGGGAGCAAACAGGAUUAGAUACCCC